AUUGAACGCUGGCGGCAGGCCUAACACAUGCAAGUCGAGCGGAUGAAGGGAGCUUGCUCCUGGAUUCAGCGGCGGUCGGGUGAGUAAUGCCUAGGAAUCUGCCUGGUAGUGGGGGAUAACGUCCGGAAACGGGCGCUAAUACCGCAUACGUCCUGAGGGAGAAAGUGGGGGAUCUUCGGACCUCACGCUAUCAGAUGAGCCUAGGUCGGAUUAGCUAGUUGGUGGGGUAAAGGCCUACCAAGGCGACGAUCCGUAACUGGUCUGAGAGGAUGAUCAGUCACACUGGCACUGAGACACGGUCCAGACUCCUACGGGAGGCAGCAGUGGGGAAUAUUGGACGAUGGGCGAAAGCCUGAUCCAGCCAUGCCGCGUGUGUGAAGAAGGUCUUCGGAUUGUAAAGCACUUUAAGUUGGGAGGAAGGGCAGUAAGUUAAUACCUUGCUGUUUUGACGUUACCAACAGAAUAAGCACCGGCUAACUUCGUG
rnacentral:rRNA from 1 species